rnacentral:rRNA from 1 species
UACGAAGGGGGGCUAGCGUUGUUUCGGAGUUACUGGGCGUAAAGGGCGCGUAGGCGGCGCAUCAAGUCAGGCGUGAAAGCCCUGGGCUCAACCCGGGAAUUGCGCUUGAGACUGGUGUGCUUGAGUACGGGAGAGGAUAGUGGAAUUCCCAGUGUAGAGGUGAAAUUCGUAGAUAUUGGGGAAGAACACCAGUGGCGAAGGCGGCUAUCUGGACCGUAACUGACGCUGAGGCGCGAAAAGCGUGGGG